AACAAGCGAGUCACAGGGAUCUCGGUCCGAUGCCGCUCACUACAACCCCUUGCCGGGCCGAGUUCCACGACCACCAUACUCACACGACUCAGAGUCCGUGGAAUCCGGAGGUCACAUGGGACAAGGUACGGACAGCGGAAGCUACGAAGG